rnacentral:rRNA from 1 species
UGAGGAAUAUUGGUCAAUGGACGCAAGUCUGAACCAGCCAUGCCGCGUGCAGGAAGACGGCUCUAUGAGUUGUAAACUGCUUUUGUAUUAGGGUAAACUCAGGUACGUGUACCUGACUGAAAGUAUAAUACGAAUAAGGAUCGGCUAACUCCGUGCCAGCAGCCGCGGUAAUACGGAGGAUCCAAGCGUUAUCCGGAUUUAUUGGGUUUAAAGGGUGCGUAGGCGGUUUGAUAAGUUAGAGGUGAAAUACCGGGGCUUAACUCCGGAACUGCCUCUAAUACUGUUGAACUAGAGAGUAGUUGC